UACGUAGGGGGCUAGCGUUGUCCGGAAUCAUUGGGCGUAAAGAGCGUGUAGGUGUUCCUACAAGUCGGUCGUUAAAUCUCAGAGCUCAACUCUGAGGCCGCGAGCGAAACUGUAGGAAUUGAGGUUUACAGGGGCAAGCAGAAUUUCUGGAGUAGGGGUGAAAUCCGUUGAUACCAGAAGGAAUACCAAUGGCGAAGGCAGCUUGCUGGGUAACACCUGACACUGAGACGCGAAAGCGUGGGGAGCAAACGGG
rnacentral:rRNA from 1 species